rnacentral:lncRNA from 10 species
AUCUUGGGAUCCUUAGAGAAUUAUCCUUAAGUGUGUAAAUAAAGUCUAUUUAUUCAAAUGAUGAACUUUACUGAAAGACUCACAGGACUUCCAUCUGAAGCUGCCACAUCCUUAACAUGACUUCAGCAAAGUGUAUUUUUGCAACUCUGAAUUGAAUUGAUCCCAAUUUGAAAAUUAAAGAAAAUUUUAAAUCAAGUUAAUCCAAUAUGUGACAAAAGUAGUCAAAAAUCCAGACUCUCUAAAGUGGGGAUAAAGUGUAGAUUCUGAUAGUCUCAUAGUCUUCCUGCAAGGAGAAAGAUAAAAACUCAUAAACACAUAAAUGAAUACUCUUAAGUAGUUGUAGACAACGACACUCCCUUUUCAAAGGGUUGUGGGAAGGGGGUUUUCAUGCUGGUUAUUGAUCCAGUAAGAGCCAACAAGUACAAGCAAAGUGAAGCAUCUAUGUGCCAGAUGUUCUCCUGGGUACUGGUUCUUGGAGCUAUGAGUAAGAUAUCAUCCUGAUCUACAAUUUGGAAUCACAGCAC